UAAAAUCAAACAUAUUUUCAAAGGGAUUGUCUUUAAAGAAAACAAGGUUGUACUUAAAUGUUUGUUUGAGGACUUGGAUGAAGUUUGUGAACAACAUGAAGAAGUCACUGGAAGCGACGAUGGUAAUUCCGACGAUGUUGCCACACCCACCACAGAAAUAAAUAAGACAUGGCGGGAGCUCACUGCACUGUUGAAUCAAGCCAAACACAAUUUGGAUACAUCAGAAAAGACACAGAAGGAACUGCGUGAUGAGCUUAAACGAGUGAAACAAGCUCUACAUCAUUCCGAAAAGAAAAGUAAACAGCUAUAUGAUCUGCUGAUACAAGGUCAACAUGAACUUGACCAAUUGAAAAAGG